CCAAUUGGUGGGCUUUUCCCUAAGG
rnacentral:piRNA from 1 species